GAUGAACGCUGGCGGCGUGCCUAAUACAUGCAAGUCGAGCGAACAGACGAGGAGCUUGCUCCUCUGACGUUAGCGGCGGACGGGUGAGUAAAACGUGGAUAACCUACCUAUAAGACUGGGAUAACUUCGGGAAACCGGAGCUAAUACCGGAUAAUAUAUUGAACCGCAUGGUUCAAUAGUGAAAGACGGUUUUGCUGUCACUUAUAGAUGGAUCCGCGCCGCAUUAGCUAGUUGGUAAGGUAACGGCUUACCAAGGCGACGAUGCGUAGCCGACCUGAGAGGGUGAUCGGCCACACUGGAACUGAGACACGGUCCAGACUCCUACGGGAGGCAGCAGUAGGGAAUCUUCCGCAAUGGGCGAAAGCCUGACGGAGCAACGCCGCGUGAGUGAUGAAGGUCUUCGGAUCGUAAAACUCUGUUAUUAGGGAAGAACAAAUGUGUAAGUAACUAUGCACGUCUUGACGGUACCUAAUCAGAAAGCCACGGCUAACUACGUG
rnacentral:rRNA from 1 species